rnacentral:lncRNA from 10 species
CCAUGGCGCGAUCUCGGCUCACUGAAACCUCUGCCUUCUGGGUUCAAGUGAUUCUCCCGCCUCAGCCUCCCCAGUAGCUGGGAUUACAGGAACUGUGAGCUCUCCAUCACUGAACGGUACAGGAAAGCCCAGGAGAAGAAAAUGUUUGGAAAAUGUAAGAUACCACAUUUCUACUAUUGUAACAUUGGGAAAAAGGCAGUCAUCAACUAUCAUUCUUAAAAUCUAAAUGGAAUAAACUAAUCAGAAUGAAGACACAAUUGCAGGCUGAGGAAAGCAAUUGGUAAAUGGAAAUGGCAUCCUAAAGGAAAUCACAAAUGCACAGUCAUCAGUGCUCCAGAAAUUUCCAAGUUGCACACAGACAGGUGGUAAAGAAAUGACUGAGCAUGAACAUUUAAAGUGACAAAUGAUUUUCUAUGUUUUCAAUAUGAACUGACCACCUGACUUUGGGUCAAAUUCAAAUGUUAGAAAAUUAAUUAAUUCCCAAGAACGUUGAAGUGUUGAUGAAGAAUGUAUGCAUCUGUCCUUGGAAGAGAAAG